AACGUAGGAGACGAGCGUUAUCCGGAUUUACUGGGCGUAAAGCGCGUGCAGGCGGUUUAUUAAGUCACUUGUGAAAGCGCCUGGCUCAACUGGGCGAGGCCGUGUGAGACUGAUAGACUUGAGAGAGGUAGAGGCGAAUGGAAUUCCGGGUGGAGUGGUGAAAUGCGUAGAGAUCCGGAGGAACACCAGUGGCGAAGGCGAUUCGCUGGGCCUUCUCUGACGCUCAGACGCGACAGCAUGGGGAGCGAACGGG
rnacentral:rRNA from 1 species